UGUCUUAGCAGUGAAUGUAAAUUAUGAGAUCUUUAUAUAUCGUUGUUGAACUGCAUUUGAAUAUGCAUGGAGGAGGCAUUUGGCUGAGGUUUCUACUAAGUAAGGCAUGAUAUUAUGAGAAUUGAGGAAUUUGUUGGUCUUUGCAGUGAAAGUAAAUUAUGAAGUCUUUAUAUUGUCUUCUAUAGCUCUGUAUAGAGGGGUGCCUUUAAGUUUUCUCCUUGUUCCAAAUAACCUUGUUACUCCGUAUUUAAAAACCAAAGACAGUCAGGUUUCAGGGUAAAAUGCAUAAUUGACAAGGCAGUCUAGGUUUAUUUUCUUCUUUAUUUGGCUCUCAUAUUUCUUCUAUCAUUAUAUCGUGUUUAAGGAAGUGCUGGAUUUGGUUAAUCAAAGUUGUUGAUAGUCACUUUCUUAUGUUUUCUUUGUUUAAUUGGCUAGGUUCCAAAAGAAAGAUGGUUCUGAUUGAUUACUUCAUAGUGUAGAUCACAAGUUUGUUGUAUUUUCUAUUGCUCUGCAGGUUGAGGGUCCAAAAUCUCCUGAAGAAAUGCUCAUGAU
rnacentral:misc_RNA from 1 species